rnacentral:rRNA from 1 species
UACGGGGGGGGCAAGCGUUGUUCGGAAUUACUGGGCGUAAAGGGUUCGUAGGUGGCCAACUAAGUCAGACGUGAAAUCCCUCAGCUUAACUGGGGAACUGCGUCUGAGACUGGAUGGCUUGAGUGCAGGAGAGGAACGCGGAAUUCCAGGUGUAGCGGUGAAAUGCGUAGAUAUCUGGAGGAACACCGGUGGCGAAGGCGGCGUCUGGACUGCAACUGACACUGAGGAACGAAAGCCAGGGGAGCAAACGGG